rnacentral:lncRNA from 1 species
AAGAAAAAAAGAAAAAAUAAAGGGAAACCCCUCCUCUGCUAGGGUUCCAAGAUUGAAACCCCGCCGCUGCCAUGCCUUCGCUGUCCGGUGAUCGGAGCUGUGCGAAGAAGGCUCCUAUCGGCGCCUUGAAACGCGCUCAUGGGACGAGGCCAUGGAACGAAGAGACGAGGGGAAAGAGAAGAACUUCGGCCCCUCCUUGAACCCACAUCCGGCGACGGCGAAUCACCAUCGACGGCGGGCCUAGGGGCCGAUUCAGGUAACCUUCUUUUUUUCCUUUUUUUUGUUUUUUAAUUACUUUUAAAUAGAUUUGAAAUAAAAGAAAAGAAAAGAAAAACAAAAACUAUGAAAAAGAGAACGAAGAGAACAGUUUUUUU